rnacentral:piRNA from 1 species
CAGGAGGCUGAGGCAGGGGGAGUGGCA